rnacentral:rRNA from 1 species
AUUGAACGCUGGCGGCAGGCUUAACACAUGCAAGUCGAGCGCACGGCGGACGGGUUAGUAAUGUCUGGGAAACUGCCUGAUGGAGGGUGCUAACUACUGGAAACGGUCGCUAAUACCGCAUACCCUCAGAUGUGCCCAGAUGGGAUUAGCUAGUAGGUGGGGUAAUGGCUCACCUAGGCGACGAUCCCUAGCUUGUCUGAGAGGAGGACAAGCCAAACUGGAAGUGAGACACGGUCCAGACUCGUCCUGGAGGCAGCAGUGGGGAAUAGUGCACAAUGGGCGCAAGCCUGAUGCAGCCAUGCCGCGUGUGUGAGGAAGGCCGUCGGGUUGUAAAGCGCUUUCAGCGAGGAGGCGUUACUCGCAGAAGAAGCACCGGCUAACUCCGUGCCAGCAGCCGCGGUAAUUC